CAAUCACUGCAAGUUCAUCCCAGUCUUCUUGCUGCAGACACAGUACACUGCAGCCAGCGAGUGUCCAUCCUCUGUGGGCAUGAAUUUACACAGAUGGUUCUUGUAGCAGUGGAUUAGAGAGCAUAUUUCCUCAAUAAGUGAAAAAAACAAAGGCUUCACUGAAUUUAUUAUGUCUUAAUGAGGAGACCUACAUCGAUGUAUAUUUGUGUGUGAACGAACCAGGAUUUUUUUGUUUCAUCAGUGGAGCUCUUAUGUGGGGUCACACAUUUAGAAACAAAAUUCCUCAGGUUCCCAGCGCAGAAAGCAGGGAGAAGAAAGAAGAGGAAAAGAGAGGGAGAAAGAAGGCAGUGUGAUGGCGAGCUGACUGCAGAUUCUCUGCCUGACCUGAAGGAAAAAGCACCCUCUGUGCAUGGAUUGGGAUUGGCCCAGAUGAUCGGAGUGAACCUUUGCCCGGGUGAAGAGUACUCAGCAUCCCUAGGCCCGGAGGCCUUACAAGCAGCCCUCUCCUCGCCCCGUCUCCCUUGCACCUUUCACCUCCCCCCACCCAUCUCUUGUAAAAGCAGCAUGCUUCAAAUGAGAUAGUUUGUAUGACGUUUUGUGUGACCACGUUGGACCGUUUUCUCAGCUGCGUCAUUCGUACUUUUUUGUACACUUUAUUUUCCCUAAAGGUGUUUUUUGUAAGAAGCUGACCAGUGUUAGAAGUGUGAAUAAUUUGCAGACACUUAAAAUCCUGCCCAUUUUCACACCAAUGCACACUUCAUCACACAGACCUCAGAAUGUGGUUUUUGGGAACAAAACUCCCCAAUCUGUCAGAGCUUUCCGACACUUGGAAAAACACUUUGAAGCAUCCAGUGGCAUUAAAGCCAUUCCAAACAAAAUCCAACAAGAGCACAUUGUCAGGAAACCUCAAAUAAAAACCAUUACUGCCAUAAGACAAUUCCCUCAUCCAGAAAGGAAAGAGCAGGUGCACCUGAAUAUCAUGACUGGAAGGCACGUUUGAAAUACAAACCUCCGUCAAUGAAGGACAAUUUUCCGACUUGCUGUUAAAUCGAAAGACACACAAGCCUGACAUCCUUGGAUCAUGUUCAGCAUCACAAGUUUAGGUUGAUCUCAUACUCAAGCCUUGGUGAAGAGUCAAGUCCUCUUCCCAUGAAUAAUGGGAUGCCACAGGGAUCUAUUCUUGGUCCAUUACUAUUUACAUUAUAGAUAAAUAACAUUUUUCCUCCUAAUCAGUAUUUCAAUGUCCAUUUUUAUGGACAUGAUACAAUUUUAUUCCAUUCAUCCCAGCAUCCAAUUACAGAUAGGACCAAGUACAGUACAUGGUUUUCUCUACAUCCACCCAAGUCUCUGACUAUCCAGCAAUACUUUAAAUGGUAUCCCCACCUCUCUUGCUGAGUCAUACAGAUAAAAAAUUGGCAUGACAGGAGACAUAUUCGUCAUUUACAAUUCAUAUUUAUCUUUCCAAGCAAGUACCCAAGUACCCUAUUUAUCCAAAAAAAGCUUUGCCAUUAAAUCUUCUUCUCUUCUCUCUUUUAAAUAACUCUCAAAUAACUAAUCAACCUUAGAUAUCCUGUAGGCACUACAGUUUCAGGUAUUUUGCACCUUUCAAAUGGUAUAUUUUUGUAAAUUUGAUGUGUUGGUCUUUUAAACUGGUUGUUUGACUAUGAAAGUUUUGUUCUCAAGUCUCUCUUGAAAAAGACAUGUUGAUCUAAGUGAGACUACCUGAUAAAGUUAUUAAUACUAGUAGCCAGCAUUGAUGAUAAGUCUGGGUGUCCAUUUGUGUUAACAUUCGUCACCACUGCAAACCUAUCAAGUGUUGUUAAAUACCAUAUUUGCAUGAUAAUUAUCACCUCAUCUCCCUUUUUGAGUCACUGCUUGAGCUUCAGGAGGUUUGGGUGCUGAGGUAGAUUGAUAAACAGAACUGACAAAGUUACCCAGUCACAAAUGGCAACACACCUGUUAGUAAAAGGCUUCAGUUAAUGAUUGACAUGGUAGCAGCAGGGAUUUUAGGGGAUUGUGUAGUUCAGUUUUCCAAUCGAUGCAUUUUCUCCCUGUGUUGGUGUGGGUUUUCUCUGGGUU